GGAGUGAUGCCCGAGUGGCCGAAGGGGCUCCCCUGCUAAGGGAGUAUNNUCGAGGGUUCGAAUCCCUCUCACUCCGCCA
rnacentral:tRNA from 1 species